AGGUAGAGAAUACUAAGGCGCUUGAGAGAACUCGGGUGAAGGAACUCGGCAAAAUUGUACCGUAACUUCGGGAGAAGGUACGCUCUUUUUGGUGAUGGGAUUUACUCCCUAAGCUGAGGAGAGUCGAAGUGACCAGGUGGCUGCAACUGUUUAUUAAAAACAUAGCACUCUGCAAACUCGUGAGAGGAAGUAUAGGGUGUGACGCCUGCCCGGUGCCGGAAGGUUAAUUGAUGGGGUUAUCUUCGGAGAAGCUCUUGAUCGAAGCCCCGGUAAACGGCGGCCGUAACUAUGACGGUC
rnacentral:rRNA from 1 species